UAUAUUUAGUGGCGAACGGGUGAGUAAUGCCUAGGAAUCUGCCCAUUAGCGGGGGAUAACGUGUGGAAACGCACGCUAAUACCGCAUACGCCCUACGGGGGAAAGCAGGGGAUCUUCGGACCUUGCACUAAUGGAUGAGCCUAGGUCGGAUUAGCUAGUUGGUAGGGUAAAGGCCUACCAAGGCUACGAUCUGUAGCGGGUCUGAGAGGAUGAUCCGCCACACUGGAACUGAGACACGGUCCAGACUCCUACGGGAGGCAGCAGUGGGGAAUAUUGGACAAUGGGGGCAACCCUGAUCCAGCCAUGCCGCGUGUGUGAAGAAGGCCUUUUGGUUGUAAAGCACUUUAAGCGAGGAGGAGGGUACUCUGGUUAAUACCUAGAUUAAUACUCUAGGAUAGUGGACGUUACUCGCAGAAUAAGCACCGGCUAACUCUGUGCCAGCAGCCGCGGUAAUACAGAGGGUGCGAGCGUUAAUCGGAUUUACUGGGCGUAAAGCGUGCGUAGGUGGCUAAUUAAGUCAAAUGUGAAAUCCCCGAGCUUAACUUGGGA
rnacentral:rRNA from 1 species